UAAUUUGACUUAUUGUGUAAUAUAUAUUAUAAUAAGUACGUCUUUAUGACUAUGAUGAUAAACGUUAUAUAUAAUAAAUGAUAUGGACCCGAGGGCGGAACUCGGCAUCUCCACCAUUUUUAAGGGGAUGAUUAGCUUAGACAUACAUCGAAAAAUAUGAUUUUGUCCGGCAAGAUACAACCGUAAUAGUUCAAAACAUAAAUGCUGAAGAUAAUUCAGACCUUGCUUUAGCUGCAUAACCUUCGGGUUAAUCUCAAUAGAGAUUUUGUUAUUGCAAGAAUGGUCUUGAGUGAACCAUUUUAAAGAAUCACUCUAUU
rnacentral:tmRNA from 1 species